rnacentral:ncRNA from 1 species
GUUUGGUCCCAACUUUAACCUCAACUACUACUCAACUUACACAUGCAAGUAUCUGCACACUCGUGAAAAUGCCCUCACCCCUCACCCAGGAACAGGAGCCGGUAUCAGGCACAUUUCCGCCCAUGACACCUAGCUACGCCACGCCCCCAAGGGCCCUCAGCAGUGAUAAACAUUGUUUAUUAGCGCCAGCUUGACCCAGUUAUAGUAUAACAGAGCCGGCCAAUUCGGUGCCAGCCGCCGCGGCUACCCCGCUUGGCUCAAGUUGACACUUUCGGCGUUAAGAGUGGUUAAAGCAACUCAUACACUAGAGUCAAACCCCAACCAAGUUGUGAUAUACUUGUCCACAGGAAGCCCCAAAACGAAAGUUACUCUAUCACCCUUGAACCCACGACAAUUAGAAUACAAACUGGGAUCAGGUACCCCACUAUGCCUAAUUGUAAAAUAUUUACCCACACCCUAAAACGCCAGGGAAUUACGAGCCCCCCCCCCUUAAAACCCAAGGGACUUGACGGUGCCCCACCCACCUAGAGGAGCCUGUUCUAUAAUCGACACCCCACGAUACACCUUACCACCCUUAGCAUAUUCAGUCUGUAUACCUCCGUCGCAAGCUUACCUCAUGAGCGCCACGAGUGAGCUAAAAGAUCCCCACCUACACGUCAGGUCAAGGUGCAACUAACAGGAUGGAAAGCAAUGGGCUACAAUCUCUAUACUAGAACACACGAAAAGCUACAUGAAAUAUAGUCACGAAGGCGGAUUUAGAAGUAAAAAGAGAUCAGAAAGUUCUUUUUAACUAGGCCCUGAGGCGCGUACACACCGCCCGUCACCCUCCUCAACAACCCGCAGAGGAGGCAAGUCGUAACAUGGUAAGUGUACUGGAAAGUGCACUUGGAAUAACCAAAGUGUAGCUUAACUAAAGCAUUUCGCUUACACCGAAACAGAUGUAACUAACCUUUACCACUUUGAGCCUAAAUUCUAGCCCCACCCCCCCCCCCCGUAUUUACAACAAACAAAACAUUUAUCCUAUCAAGUAACGGCGAUUAAAAAAUAACUUGGAGCUAUAAAACUAGUACCGCAAGGGAAACAUGAAACAAAAUAAAUAAUCAAAGCAAAACAUAGCAGAGAUUAACCCUCGUACCUUUCGCAUCAUGGUCUAGCUAGUCUAACCAAGCAAAACGCACCUAAAGUUUGACCCCCCGAAACUAGGCGAGCUACUCUAAAACAGCCAUCAGAGCAAACCCAUUCCUGUUACAAAAGGACGGGAAGAUUUUAAAGUAGAGGUGACACACCUAUCGAGCCCAGAGAUAGCUGGUUAUUCAAAAAUGGAUCUAAGUCCAACUUUAAGUUUUUAUAGUACCCCUAAACAACUCACAAACUUAAAACCCACUCAAAUAAGGUACAGCCUAUUUGAACAAGGAAACAACCUACAAUAUAGGGUAACGUCCACCAACAUGGCUAAGUAGGCCUAAAAGCAGCCAUCUUUUAAAAAGCGUCCAAGCUUCCCCACCUAACAUCCUUAAUCUCACGAUGCAACCACAACCCUCAACUACUACUGAAUGACCCCAUAUCUAUAUGGUAGACAUUAUGCUGGAACUAGUAAUAAGAAGACGAACUUCUCUAAAAUGCAAGCGUAAGCCAGAAUGAACAUCUCACUGACACCCACCGCUUCGACCACAGUAACAUAUUUCAAGAAAAUUCUACUUCCCUAAGCGCCAGCCUUACACCAGAGCAUUCCCAGAAAGAUUGAAAGGGUGGGAAGGAACUCGGCAAAUAUCAGCCCCGCCUGUUUACCAAAAACAUCGCCUUUUGACAAUAUAUAAAAGGUCUAGCCUGCCCAGUGACCAACGUUAAACGGCCGCGGUACCCUAACCGUGCAAAGGUAGCACAAUCACUUGUUCUUUAAAUCAGGACUAGUAUGAACGGCCCCACGAGAGCUAUACUGUCUCCCCACUUCAAUCAGUGAAACUGAUCCCCUCGUGAAGAAGCGAGGAUUAUUUUAUAAGACGAGAAGACCCCAUGGAACUUUAAACUAGUAUCACCUCCUAUUACCAACAUGAUUUCUAGUCUUUCGGCUGGGGCGACCACGGAGAAAAACAAAACCCCCGAGAUGAAAGGGAAUAUCCUUACCCAAGAAUUACUAUUCCAAGAAUCAAUAAAUGACAUCAUUGACCCAACAUUUGAUCAACGAACCAAGCUACCCUGGGGAUAACAGCGCAAUCCAUUUCAAGAGACCUCA